AUACUUGACGUUAGAUCACCGAAGUUAAGCAUCAUUGGGCGCGGUCAGUACUUGGGUGGGUGACCACCUGGGAACACCGCGUGCCGUU
rnacentral:rRNA from 1 species